GUUUGAUNCUGGCUCAGGACGAACGCNGGCGGCGCGCCUAACACAUGCAAGUCGAACGAAGUAAGUUUUUCGGAAUGUACUUAGUGGCGGACGGGUGAGUAACGCGUGAAUAAUCUGCCCCAUACAGGGGGAUAGCCUCGGGAAACCNGGAUUAAAACCGCAUGAUGCUUUUUUAUCGCAUGGUAGAGAAGUCAAAUCGAAUAAGAGGUAUGGGAUGAGUUCGCGUCUGAUUAGCUGGUUGGCGGGGUAAGAGCCCACCAAGGCGACGAUCAGUAGCCGGCCUGAGAGGGUGACCGGCCACACUGGAACUGAGACACGGUCCAGACUCCUACGGGAGGCAGCAGUGGGGAAUAUUGCACAAUGGAGGGAACUCUGAUGCAGCGACGCCGCGUGAGUGAAGAAGGUCUUCGGAUCGUAAGACUCUGUCCUUGGUGACGAAGAAAAUGACGGUAGCCAAGGAGGAAGCCCCGGCUAACUACGUGCCAGCAGCCGCGGUAAUACGUAGGGGGCGAGCGUUGUCCGGAUUUACUGGGCGUAAAGGGUGAGUAGGCGGUUAUAUAUGUCAGGUGUAAAAAGCUAUGGCUUAACCAUAGUAAGCACUUGAAACUGUAUGACUUGAGUGCAGGAGAGGUAAGCGGAAUUCCUAGUGUAGCGGUGAAAUGCGUAGAUAUUAGGAGGAACACCGGUGGCGAAGGCGGUUUACUGGACUGUAACUGACGCUGAGUCACGAAAGCGUGGGUAGCAAACAGGAUUAGAUACCCUGGUAGUCCACGCCGUAAACGAUGAGUGCUAGGUGUUGGGUAGCAAUGCUCAGUGCCGAAGUAAACACAAUAAGCACUCCGCCUGGGGAGUACGUACGCAAGUAUGAAACUCAAAUGAAUUGACGG
rnacentral:rRNA from 1 species